rnacentral:rRNA from 1 species
CCUACGGGAGGCAGCAGUGAGGAAUAUUGGUCAAUGGGCGCGAGCCUGAACCAGCCAAGUAGCGUGAAGGAUGACUGCCCUACGGGUUGUAAACCUCUUUUAUAAAGGAAUAAAGUGAGGCACGUGUGCCUUUUUGUAUGUACUUUAUGAAUAAGGAUCGGCUAAAUCCGUGCCAGCAGCCGCGGUAAUACGGAGGAUCCGAGCGUUAUCCGGAUUUAUUGGGUUUAAAGGGAGCGUAGAUGGGUUGUUAAGUCAGUUGUGAAAGUUUGGGGCUCAACCGUAAAAUUGCAAUUGAUACUGGCAGUCUCGAGUACAGUUGAGGUAGGCGGAAUUCGGGGUGUAGCGGGGAAAUGCUUAGAUAUCACGAAGAACCCCGAUUGCGAGGGCAGCUUACUAAACUGUGACUGACAUUGAUGCUCGAAGGUGUGGGUAUCAAACAGGAUUAGAUACCCUGUAGUC